rnacentral:rRNA from 1 species
UACGUAGGGUGCAAGCGUUCAUCGGAAUUACUGGGCGUAAAGCGUGCGCAGGCGGCUUUGCAAGACAGAUGUGAAAUCCCCGGGCUUAACCUGGGAACUGCAUUUGUGACUGCAUGGCUGGAGUGCGGCAGAGGGGGAUGGAAUUCCGCGUGUAGCAGUGAAAUGCGUAGAUAUGCGGAGGAACACCGAUGGCGAAGGCAGGUCUCUGGGCUGACACUGACGCUCAUGCACGAAAGCGUGGGGAGCAAACAGG